UAGUCUAAAACUGCAUGAUUUUUUUUUUACUUUUUUUUCUUUUUAAUAAAAAAGAAUGCCUGUGUCAUUUUAACUAUUUAAGAUUAAUUUGUAUUGUGAUAGUCCCUAUCUGGACCCCCUAGUUGUGAUUAAUUAUGUCUUACUAGUUGGUACUUCAGAUGCAGUUCCUGUGUUUUACACUAAAUCAUAAUGGUAAGAUACACAUUAUGAUUACUUUUGUUUUAGAAAACCUGGUGUUUUAUAAUCUCUGGUAAUUUGAUGUUGCCUUAUUCUCUGAAGUACAAUAGUGGAAAAGAUUCCCUAGUCACUUUCUUUAUGUAAAAGUCUAUAUACUUUAUAUGCUCUCUCAGCCAUUUUUGUCAACAAGGG